rnacentral:misc_RNA from 1 species
AACGCACAUUGCACUCCUUGGUAUUCCGAGGAGUAUGCCUGUUUCAGUAUCAUGAGCACUCUCACACCUAACCUUUGGGCUAAGAUGUGGAAUUGGGAUGCGCCGAUUUUCAUUAGUCGGCACUCCUAAAAUGUAGCUCUUGGCUGUUUCCUACUACAGCAGUUUGGCCUAAUAGUUUUGACUUUUGUCAAAUCUUUGGCUACAUUUGCUUCUGGAAAUCAGUCUUGAUAAUACAGAAAACUCAUUUCAAACUUUGAUCUGAAAUCAGGUAGGGCUACCCGCUGAACUUAA